AAAUUUUAGCCCAAUAACAGACCCAAAAAUAAACCCAACUAGCCUAGCCCAUUACAGCAACCUGCCCAAAAACAAUUCCCAAACUAAACCCACCAACUACCAGCCCAAACCCCAGCCCAAUUACAAUUAACCAGACCCAAACCCAAUUAACCCACUAACCCGAGGCCCAAUUCAACUAAGGCCCAAUUUCCCCAAAAAAAUCAGGCUAGGGUUUCAGAAAAGAAACCCUAGCGCCGUACCUAGGCACUGCCGCCCCUUGACUUUUGGCCUUCUGACGCCGCCACCAUCCCAUCGGCGCCGCCCGCAGUCACGUCACCACCACCACUUGCGCCGUCACCUGCAAGGGAGAAACAAAACAAAGAAACAGAUAGCAAAGAACAAAAGCAGUAGAGAAUCGGCUAUAAAAGCCGAAUAUGUAACCUUCUUUUUUCUUCUUCUGGCUACUUUUGUAUCAAAAAAAGGAUUCAAUCGAAAAAUAAAAAAAACAGAUUCAAGGUUUUUUCUCUUCUUUUCAGUUUGGAAGAUUUUAUUUUUAUUUUGUUCUCUUUUAUUUUUGUUUACAUUUAUAUAAAUAAAUAUAGUACAAUAAGAAAAAGGGGUUACCUUUCUUUUAACACCGCGCCGGAUGAGGGGAAGUCGAGUGGUUUCGCUUCCGUUUUUGCGUUUUUUAUUCGUCUUUCGCAAGUUUCGGCCUUAGAUCCACG
rnacentral:lncRNA from 1 species